AAAAAAAGCCAUAACUGAAGUUGCAUGCCAAAGGUAUAGUUUACUAAAGGUCAAGUGAAAUACAGUAAAGCAAAGCCAGAACUGCAGUUCGCGAGCCAAAGGUAUAGUUUACUGAAGGUUAAGUGAAAUACAGUAAAGCAAAGCCAGAACUGCGGUUCGCUCACCAAAAGUAUAGUUUAACAGUAAAGCAAAGCCAGAACUGAGGUUCGUGCGCCAAAGAUAUAGUUCACUGAAGGUCAAGUGAAAUACAGUAAAGCAAAGCCAGAACAGUGGUGCGCGCCAAAGGUAUUGUUUACUGAAGGUCAAGUGAAAUACAAAAAAGUAAAGCCAGAACUGAAGUUCAAGCACCAAAGGUAUAGUUUACUGAAGGUCAAGUGAAAUACAGUAAACCAAAGCCAGAACUGAGAUUCGCGCGCCAAAGGAAUAGUUUACUGAAGGUAAAGUGAAAUAGAGUAAAGCAAAGCCAGAACAGAGGUGCGCGCCAAAGGUAUUGUUUACUGAAGGUCAAGUGAAAUACAUUAAAGCAAAGCCAGAACAGAGGUUUGUGCGCCAAAGGUAUAGUUUAACAGUAAAGCAAAGUCAAAACUGAGGUUCGUGCGCCAAAGGUAUAGUUUACUGAAAGUCAAGUGAAAUACAGUAAAGCAAAGCCAGAAAUGAGGUUCGCGCACCAAAGGUAUACUUUACUGAAGGUCAAGUGAACUGCAAUAAAGCAAAGCCAGAACUGUGGUUCGCACGCCAAAGAUAUAGUUUAUUGAAGGUCAAGUGAAAUACAUUAAAGCAAAGCCAGAACAGAGGUUUGCGCACCAAAGGUAUAGUUUACUGAUGGUCAAGUGAAAUACAAUAAAACAAAGCCACAACUGAGGUUCGCUCGCCAAAGGUAUAGUUUACUGAAGGUCAAGUGAAAUACAGUAAAGCAAAGCCAGAACAGAGGUUUGUGCACCAAAGAUAUAGUUUACUGAAGGUCAAGUGAAAUGCAGUAAAGGAAAGCCAGAAUUGAGGUUUUCUCACCAAAGGUAUAGUUUACUGAAGGUCAAGUGAAAUACAGUAAAGCAAAGCCAGAACAGAGGUUCGCACGCCAAAGAUAUAGUUUACUGAAGGUCAAGUGAAAUACAGUAAAGGAAAGCCAGAAUUGAGGUUCGCGCGCCAAAGGUAUAGUUUACUGAAGGUCAAGUGAAAUACAGUAAAGAAAAGCCACAACUGCGGUUCGCGCGCCAAAGGUAUAUUUUACUGAAGGUCAAGUGAAAUACAGUAAAGCAAAGCAAGAACUGAGGUUUGCACGCCAAAAGUAUAGUUUACUGAAAGUCAAGUGAAAUACAAUAAAGCAAAGCCAGAACAGAGGUUCGCGUGCCAAAGGUAUAGUUUAACAGUAAAGCAAAGUCAGAACUGAGGUUCGCGUGCCAAAGGUAUAGCUUACUGAACGUCAAGUGAAAUACAGUAAAGCAAAGCCAGAAUAGAGGUUCACGCGCCAAAGAUAUAGUUUACUGAAGGUCAAAUGAAAUACAGUAAAGGAAAGCCAGAAUUGAGGUUUUCUCACCAAAGGUAUAGUUUAACAGUAAA